UUAUGUUAUCCAGGUUAGGGUUUGUGCGAUGGCGCUUUGGCGCCAUCGAUGGCGCGCUUGGUGCUGGUGAUGAUCUUGCCAAUCCAUGGCUGGAAUGCAUUGCAUCGCGCUCGUCCUCUCGGAGCUCUCGGAUCGGAUUAUCUGGAUGUGAUGUCAAUUGCUAGGUAAGUUCCUCAUGCCCUCAAUCUCUCUAGGAUUGCAUGGAGUCAGUCUUGUGCGAUCAAUGCGUGCUUUUCCCUUGCCUGUAUUCUUCUUUUUCUUCGCAUUCUUUGCCUCGCUUUGAGUUGAGGCUCGAGAAAGAAAGAGAGAGCUUUGAGAGAGUUCUUCUUGCCUUGAUAUAUGAUAGUGAUUAUCCAAAUUCGCCAGUUGCUGAAGAGGUUUGUAUCGCAAAGUUUCGGUCACUCAAUUAGUGAUUUACAUUCUCGUUGCAAUGGUGCGAGGCAAGAUGAGCAAACCUGGCAGCAAUGAUGGCAUCCACACCCAUGGAUGCCGAUAAUCCACUUUUCUCCUUGACGAUUUGCUACUUGAUCAAGGCUUUGGAAGCUAGCUAAGCUUUGGUUUCUUUCUAUGUGUACGCAAUGUGUAUUUGGACGAGCAUGGCAUUUAGCUACCUUGGAAGGAGUUUUGACAACGCCCUGAGAUUGCUAUCCGAAUCACUCUUGCUCUUAGCAUGACUCGCUGGAAGUUCCUGGCUCUCACUUGCUAAUGGAGAUGUUGUACAUGCGCAAAGCAGCUCAACGCCAUCUCCUGUGACAUUGUUCGCCAUUGAGAUAGCUAACUUUACUCCCUUUCUUUCUGCAGUUCUUGGUUGAUGAUCCAUGGCAGCUUGUUUCUUUGGUGCAGAAUUUAGCGUCUCUCAAGGAAUGCUGAGAUGCUGAAGUAAAGAAGGCAUACCCGAGCAAAGGAGACAUUCCAGCCCGACUUUGAUCCGCACAGUCGGAUGCCUUUACUGUCGGAGAUGAUGGAAGAAGAAGAGCCCGAGAAGGCCGAGCUUGAGAACAAACUCAUGAAGACUAGGAAACAUGCAUUGAGGAGAGAUGUGGCCUCAACACCAAAGCCAAGGAAGCUCGGAUAAACACCAAGUCUAACAGCGCUCAAGCCGGAUUGACAGAAAGCAGUGGAGCUGCCAGGAACGCCUCUCUCAGUCUUUCCCAGAACAGAUCAACCGAGCAGGCACUUGCCCAGCACCGCCAGCACCGCACCCCACCAGCCGCCAGCGCAGCACCGCAGCUCCAUGCCGCCCCGGAUUAACAAGUCGACUUAUAAGUUCAAUUAUAAGUCUGACUUAGCACAACUUUUCAUUUUGGGCCAAAAAAGCUCCGUGUGAUUAUCCUAAGAUUGCAUGAAACCAUACACACACCAUCUUAUUCAGCACCCCUAA